rnacentral:rRNA from 1 species
GGCGGCGGCCUAAUCAUGCAAGUCGAACGGGUGUAGCAAUACACUAGAGGCGCACGGGUGCGUAACGCGUAACCAACCUACCUGGAUCUGGGGGAUAGCCCGCCGAAAGGCGGAUUAAUACCGCAUAAGCUAAGUGACCGGCAUCGGUUGCUUCGUAAAGAUUUAUUGGAUUCAGAUGGGGUUGCGUAGCAUUAGCUAGAUGGCGGGGUAACGGCCCACCAUGGCGACGAUGCUUAGGGGACCUGAGAGGGUGAUCCCCCACACUGGCACUGAGAUACGGGCCAGACUCCUACGGGAGGCAGCAGUAGGGAAUAUUGGGCAAUGGGCGAGAGCCUGACCCAGCCAUGCCGCGUGCCGGAUGAAGGCCUUCUGGGUUGUAAACGGCUUUUCUCAGGGAAGAAAAAGGGGAUGCGUCCCAAACUGACGGUACCUGAGGAAUAAGCACCGGCUAACUCCGUGCCAGCAGCCGCGGUAAU